CCUACGGGUGGCAGCAGUGAGGAAUAUUGCGCAAUGGGCGAAAGCCUGACGCAGCGACGCCGCGUGGAGGAUGAAGGUUUUCGGAUUGUAAACUCCUGUUAAGUGGGAAGAAACGACAAAAUAUAAUACAUUUUGUAACUGACGGUACCAUUAAAGAAAGCACCGGCUAACUUCGUGCCAGCAGCCGCGGUAAUACGAGGGGUGCAAGCGUUAUUCGGAAUUAUUGGGCGUAAAGGGUGCGUAGGCGGCGUAUUAAGUCAACUGUUAAAACCUCCAGCCUAACUGGAGAUCAGCAGUAGAUACUGGUAUGCUAGAGGAUGGAAGAGAGAAGUGGAAUUCUUGGAGUAGCGGUGGAAUGCGUAGAUCUCAAGAGGAACACCAAUGGCGAAGGCAGCUUCUUGGUCCAUAUCUGACGCUGAUGCACGAAAGCGUGGGGAGCAAACAGGAUUAGAUACCCCAGUAGUC
rnacentral:rRNA from 1 species